UGGAGAAGCUGUGGGUUUCUGGCAUCAACUCUGCGGCUGGAGGCAUGGCAGGUUUUCUGCCCAAUAUCCACUGCUUCUAAGGCCUGCUGCUGCCACCCAGGUAUCUCUUGCUGUCUCCACACUGUCUUGGGACGGCCGGCUCUAAGAAUUCUCGCUAUGGACUCGAUUCAGCCAGGAGACAGAUGAUGCCUAAUGCUGUCAGAAACCUUGAUGCUGGUGAAGAGAUACAUUGAGCCUUUCCUGGUCCAGUGAGGGACCAGUGAAUUGGGAGGGGCUCAAAUCACCAUGCUGCACAUGGUUAUCAAACUAUUGUGACAUUUUGGUUCUUGCUAAGUUGCUGAGUCUUAACGAAGUUGCUCAGGCUGGCUUUGAACUUGAGAUCCUCCUGCUUCAACCUCCAGGGUUGCUGGACUUACAGGUGUGACCACCACAUGUUGCUCUGUCUGAUACUUAUACUAGCCUUCCUGCACAGCAUAUUCACCAGAGUGCCAGGAUGAAUCACUAUUGCUGAGGAUGUCCUUGUGAGGCAGUUGGGAAGCCUUGGCUGGAUUGUGAAGGAUAUCUUUGAACAGUGUUUUAGAGUCCACCAGAUGUUCCAUGUGAGUGGCCACACAGCAGAAGAGGAGGGGGGGUCACAGUGAUUAAGGUAACACAGUAAAAAAGGAUUUGGAGGAAUUAAUCCUUCCAUUGCUAUCUCAAAAGGUGAUCUGGACAAAGGAACGGAUAUCUCUCAAUCAGGGGAAUUUUAUCACUGAAGUUUUGGAGCCAAGUGACCCAACUCACACUGGUUGUCCCUUUCACAAAUAAUGGUGCAGUGAAAACACGAUCCGAGUGUCCUUGUGCCACCAACAUGGCAUAUUAGUUAGCUUUGUUACUAUAACAAAUUACCUAAGACCCUACUAGAAUUCACCAGUAAAGCUAUUUCUUUGGGCUUUUUGUGUUCAGAGGGUCACACUAAGGCGCCAAGGAUGGUCUUGAACUUGUGAUCUUCUGACUCAACUUCCAGCUUCUCUGGGAUUACAGUACCAGGAACCCUCCCUGAGAAUUCAGGAUGCCAUAUUUAAGGCUGCCAACGAGCUGGGGCAUGGAAGGAGGGGAAUAAUGAAGAACAAACCACCACUUCCCUCAAAGGUUGAAGGAUCUGAUCUUGACCCUGAAGAACCCAAAUUGAGGAAUCUGCACCCAUGAAGAAGCCCCCUAAAGAGCAAAGUUGAAGAAAUUAUAUUAUAACUACCGAUGAGUUCAAUGGUAUUCCUGCCUUACAUGAAAUCCCAUUUGAUUGUACAUCAACCAAAAAACUAUGAGUUCUGAAAAAAAUCAUAGAUUUAUUAAUGAAGAAACAGUGAAUACUUAAGAUCAUUAUUUUAUAGUGGGAGCUGACAUAAAGGAAUUCACGACUUUGGAAGCUGACAAGAGGUUUCUUGUUUGUUAUUUCCGCAAUCCCACAGUGCUGGGGUCUCGAACCCGGGCCUUGAGCAUAUGAGGCAGGCACUCUACAAGUUGGGCUAUAUGGCCUGCAAGAGGUUUCUUGUUAUCUGAAUAUUUUUAACACAGCUGAAGGCUGUCAGAAGAUGGAGGGGGAGGACUCAUCAUUCAUUAUGUCAGAACCUGAGGCCUUUGUGAACUUUGGAACUAAAUGAUAAUAGGGUAUAGAGUCCUAUAAUUUUCUUAGGUUUCUUUAACUUUUCAUUUGCUAGUCCUUUUCAUUUUUCAUUUUGUAGUUCUGUUUUUUGUAGAAAUAAACAUGUAUUUUCAAAAUCAGUGCCUUUAGGUAAAUAUUUAUCUACCUGCUAUAUAAGCCUCUAUACUGUUUAUAUUAUGUAACUACAAAAUGCUCAUGUCUACUUUUGUACUUAGUGGACAAUGCUACAGACCCCAAUCAAAUGGGUACAGAUGUGAUGUUGGAAGAAAAAGUUCAAGAAGAUAAGGUCAAGUAUACCCAAACCCUUUGGAAUGCAAGAUUAUUAGCAUCUAAAUUCAUCCAAGGCAUUUCAGUUUAAAGGUAGGCUUCCUCCAAGUGCAUUUGGAGGUGGCAUCUCUGAUUAUUAUGCUUUCCCAUAUGUCAUUAGGAAGCAGCCCCCCUGAAAUCAAUCAAUCUAUCUAUCUGUCUUCUAUCCUCAGUUCUUUGUUUGGAGCUCCUAAAACCCUUGUUAUGUCCUGUAUGAUAGACGUGCAUCUUUGUCCUAUCUUCUUACACAGAGCCCUCAAAUACUGCGAAUUUCCUGGUGAUAGGAGCAACUUUUGAGCCUCUAAUGAGUGAUUCUUGGUGGACUCUUGAACAGGUUCAGAAUGGGGUUUGAUCACAAAGACAAAACCAUGAGUAGAUGUUUCCUUCCAAGUUUUAGCUGUCCCCCCACCGGCCUACUGUCCCAAGAAGUGGAGAGGAGCUGGAGAUUGAGUUAGUAAUUGAUGAUGUCAAGAUGAUGCCACCAUAAAAAUCCCUAAACUAUGGAAUUUGGAGAGCUUCAUGGUUGGAAAAAACAUUGUGAUGUGCCAAGAAGAUGGUGCACCCCACCUGGACAAGGACAGAAUCUCCUGUGCUUGGAACCCUUAUGAAAUUCACGCUGUGCACCUCUUCAUCUGGCUAUUAUUUCUGUAUCUGUUAUAUAAUACCCUUUAUAAUAAACUAGUAA